rnacentral:rRNA from 1 species
AUUGAACGCUGGCGGCAUGCCUUACACAUGCAAGUCGAACGGCAGCACGGGAGCAAUCCUGGUGGCGAGUGGCGAACGGGUGAGUAAUGUAUCGGAACGUACCUUUCAGUGGGGGAUAACGUAGCGAAAGUUACGCUAAUACCGCAUAUUCUGUGAGCAGGAAAGCAGGGGAUCGCAAGACCUUGCGCUGAUUGAGCGGCCGAUAUCAGAUUAGCUAGUUGGUGAGGUAAAGGCUCACCAAGGCGACGAUCUGUAGCGGGUCUGAGAGGAUGAUCCGCCACACUGGAACUGAGACACGGUCCAGACUCCUACGGGAGGCAGCAGUGGGGAAUUUUGGACAAUAGGCGGAAGACCUGAUCCAGCCAUUCGUCGUGAGUGAAGAAGGA